rnacentral:rRNA from 1 species
GCGAGUGAAGCGGCAAUAGCUCAAAUUUGAAAUCUGGCGUCUUCGGCGUCCGAGUUGUAAUUUGAAGAAGGUAUCUUUGGAAAUGGCUCUUGUCUAUGUUCCUUGGAACAGGACGUCACAGAGGGUGAGAAUCCCGUGCGAUGAGAUGACCAUUUCCGUGUAAAGUUCCUUCGACGAGUCGAGUUGUUUGGGAAUGCAGCUCUAAGUGGGUGGUAAAUUCCAUCUAAAGCUAAAUAUUGGCGAGAGACCGAUAGCGAACAAGUACUGUGAAGGAAAGAUGAAAAGAACUUUGAAAAGAGAGUGAAAAAGUACGUGAAAUUGUUGAAAGGGAAGGGCUUGAGGUCAGACUUGGUUUUACCAGGCCAGCAUCAGUUUGGAUGGCAGGAUAAUAGCAGUGAAAAGUGGCACUACUUCGGUGGUGUGUUAUAGUCUCUGUUGAUACUGCCUGUCUAGACUGAGGACUGCGUCUUUUGACUAGGAUGCUGGCAUAAUGACCUUAAGCCGCCC